rnacentral:tRNA from 1 species
CAGUGGUUAGCCCAGUUGGUAGAGCAUCGCGUUUACACCGAGAGGGUCAGCGGUUCGGGCCCGUUCCCGCCGACCA